UUAGCAAGAAUUUUCCUCUACAAUCAGAGCUUUUUAGCCAGCACUUUCGAGUUCAGGUAGUCAUUUGUGUCUGUCAUCAGCGUUCCUGGUAUUCUCUACUGGGAGACAGGCUGUCCCUGAAGGCAGCAGUCUGCUGCUCGCUUCUCAGCCGAGAUAGAACAGCGCGCUCCCGGCAGCGGCGAAGCCACAAACUCCAGGUCAGUUCGGAUCAUGCCAGGUCCCGCAGCUGAGCGCGGGUAGGAGUUUGGUCCAGUCCAGCCACGACAGAAAUUUGCACCUCCCUUUCCAGUGGUGCUUUUGGAAGUGUUUAUUAGGAUUUCUCAAAAUCGGCUGAAACCUUUGUCAAAGGAAACUGCCUUCCCACUCUCUUUGAACUCCUAGACCUAAAUGAUUAGGAACGGUGGAGUUGAGCUGAAUUCUAGUGGAGCCCAGGUAGCGCAGUGUGCUGACUAAGCACAGAGUCCUGCAUCUGGCAAAGCGUUCAUUAAAUGUAUUGGGGUUUUGUGGAGGUCGUUGGAGUCUUAGAGGCGAAGCUUUUUCUCUCCUAGGUCCUGAGCGGUUUGGCUGCAGUGUUUCACGUCAGUACUGAAUCUUGCAAAACACCCACAGGUCCGCCCGAGCGCUAGGGAAACCCAAAGCACGUUAACUCAGGGUAGCUGAUCAAAUUAAUCAAAACUAGCUGAUCGGCAUUUCUUAACAAGGAAAAAAAAAAAGGCACGUGGAGACCCUUUCUCACACUGCAGUCCUAUCCAACAGGCUGCACUGAAUUUACAGCCAAAGGGUUGUUUCUCUCCGGCUGGAGGUUUGCCGAGGACGAGGGGGAGGGUAAGGGAAGGUACCUUAGAGGAGGUCAAGAGGGAGAGGAGGAGCAGAAAAUUACCAGCCCAGCCGCAAGGGAGUUGGGAGCCGGAAAUCUACCUACCGGGAUGCCUCAAAUAACCUCCCUUUAUAUCUCAGAAUCAGCGUCCCUCAACAAAAAAAACGGCCUCUCAGGGUGGCCUGGGCUGGAGUACCAGGGUGGGCUGCGGAGGUGAUGUCAAGUUACAGCUACUUUCCAAGAAUUAAACUGGCUGCCCCACCGAGUUGGGUCGCGUUGGGGUGGCUGGGAAGUGCGUGGAUGUGGGCUGUUUUUAAAAGGAUGGGAGGGACUCUUUAGUGGUAUCUACCAGUAGAUUCUGAGUACAUGCAGUUUCGGGGCUGGAGCAGAACUUUCCAAGACCCAGUAAAAACCUGCUUAGUUCAGGAGAUAGGAUUUGGGGAACAACGUUGAAAGUCGCUGUCUGCAGCCACUCGCUACAUGGAGGUGAACAAGCGAGCUUGUGAACUGCAGCCCCGUGUGCGUGGAGAAUUUUCUGUGCCUCCAAAUCCAGGCUGUUAGAACUCUCUUGGCGACAUCACGUGAAGAGAAGAAUUCACUCUACCUCUCCCCAUGAAAAACACCAACGGAGAAGGGAAAGAGGACCAGAGAGAAGGCCCUUUCUGAAAGAAGGUCCCUUGAUCACCUCGCCUGGGUUAUUAACUUGCUCCUGAAAGGGUCAACAACGCCUUCCCUGUGCGAGGGUCCAAGAUCAAUCACGCUGCCCCAGGUGGCCUCUUGUUGAAGCCUCAGAACUCUGCUUCUGCGGCCCUUCUCAGCCUCAGACGUCCUGCGAUAAAGGUCUUUGCAAACUGCCCACCCACCCGCCCGCGUUCAAGCACACAUAAGUCUAGAAAUUUAACCCAGUCUGGGAAAGGCCGAGCGAUGAGCUAAACAAAGAGCCCCUCCCGUAGGCCUCCUCCCUUCCCAAUUGCCUAUUUGCCAACUUUCUCACUGGACACAUCCUGACCUCAAAGUUCUGAGCGCAAAGGUAUUUUCAUUCCAGUCCUGGAGACACAGGUGGAAAAAUCGAACAGAAUGCAUCUCUGCUCUAAUUCUGCUAGAGAACCAGCGUCUCACGGACUUCUCUCCCUUCCCAUGUCUUCCCCGCAGAGGAAGACCUGCAGAAAUGAAUGCAUCAAAACACUUCUUCAGACAGCCGGAUCACCUUCUCUCCCAUCUGUCAGAGGCCGAGCUUUCCGCUGAGUAACUGCGUUUCAGAAAAGUGAGGACAGCGUUUCCUCUGCGUUUGUCAUGGUGGCAACCUCCAGAAAUGAUUAAAGGUUAUUGUACAAAA